rnacentral:tRNA from 1 species
GCCCCGGUAGCUCAGCCUGGUAGAGCGCUGGCUUGGUAAGCCAGCUGUCGCGGGUUCGAGGCCCGCCCGGGGCU